rnacentral:rRNA from 1 species
CUUUGGAAGCUCCGGCACCGAAUGUCUCGUCCUUUUGGCAGCUUGAGGAUCACCUGAAUCACCGUCUUGUUGGGAGCGGGAGCGGGGGCGCUUUCUUUUGGCCAUACGACAAUAAAUUCGCACGGAACGGCCCAUUCGCCAUGGCCCGUCAAGAGCCCACCCACAGCCAUCCGGCGAGAGUCCACCAAUCCCCUCCGCCUCUGCCUGCCUGCCUCUGCGGAGCCUGAGCUUCUCCGGCUUCCCCUGCUACCCACGUCCCCGCCGCAGCCCCAUCCUCGCAUCUCUCCUGCCGCUGCCGGAUUCGCUCGAUCCGGAGACCCAAGCCUGAAGUUUAUACUUGGCACCACUGGAAGCAGAUGCUGCUGCGUUACACGCCUGCUAUGUGUUUGCAACGCUGCACCUAUACCAUGUAUUCUCAGCCUAGCCAGUUACAAGGAGGAUUGUCACAGAGCAUGGCCUUAUGGAAUCACUCUCGCUCACAUGCAGUCAGUUAUCACACAAAAAUGGGUCUAGUUAGUCUUUCUCCUAAGAGCACAAAAUCAUCUCGUCUGCAAAAUGGGACAUGCUUUGCCUGCUUGGAGCAACAGUCUAAACGCGGAUUAUCACCAAGAGAUCGUAUCCUACAUGCUAAGCUUGAUAUGACCUCACAUCACAAGUUUUCUAGUAUUAGCUACAAACCGAGAACGACGACAAGUUUAGCACAAAAAAUAGGAGGUACAGGCGCUGGACUUUCCUUGAGUUUCGCAGUUUCUGGGAUAGCAAAUGCUGGCGGUCUGGUGGAUAAUGACAUUGAUUCCAAAUCAUCCUCUAGUUGUGCUCAUGGGAAGAAAGUUUACACCGAGUAUUCUGUCACCGGCAUUCCUGGGGAUGGUAGAUGCUUGUUCCGUUCUGUGGCUCAUGGUGAGUGCAUUAGGUCAGGGAAACCCAUACCUAAUGAGAAUCUUCAAAGAAAGCUCGCUGAUGAUUUAAGAACACUGGUUGCUGAUGAGUUUAUCAGGAGACGGACAGAGACUGAACGGUUUAUUGAGGGUGAUUUCGAUACAUAUGUCUCUCAGAUUCGGAAGCCACAUGUGUGGGGAGGAGAGCCAGAAUUGCUCAUGGCUUCUCACGUUCUUCAGAUGCCGAUCACUGUUUAUAUGCGCGAAGAAGCAGCAGGUGGUUUGAUAGCGAUCGCGGAGUAUGGCCAGGAGUACGGGAAAGAAGACCCGAUCCGAGUCCUCUAUCAUGGCUGUGGCCAUUAUGAAGCGCUGCAUAUACCAGGAAACGCUGAGCCCAGGUCAAGACUGUAACAUUUGGAGUUGGAGCUCAGAAACCAGAUAGUUGUAGGGUGGAGAUACAACGUGCCGUUGCUGGAGGGUUGAGGAUGCUGGACCUCGACUCACGCUGGGCUUGGCUUUAGUUUGUGUCGGUGUCUUAGGUGCAGGAGUCUUUGUUCCUUUUGAGUACUGGUUCCCGUGUGCCUCUGGUCACUGCUUCAUGUCUGCGUUCCGGAUUUAUGAUGUUUGUGUCAUCUUCACCUGGUUUGCUCCAGAGGGGAGAUGGCUGGUACUUGUAGUUUGGUAGUUUUUGUUUUUCUUUUGAACUGGUGCCUGUAGCUGGAUUAUGCUUUGGUUUCCCUUAAUGGAAAUCAGAAGGGGGAGCCAGUCUUUUGCUAAAAAAACUAUAUAAUAAUCGAAUACAAUAUAUUAUAUCUAUUUUAAUUUGUAUUUAAAUUUGAGCAAAAAGUAUUGCAAUCAAUCCCGGCAACAACGUAUGGGGUAUAUCAUCUAGUUAACAUAGAAGUGAUUACAGAGGUUCUAACUUUUGUCCAUAGCAUUUGGAGAAAUAUGAAUUUGAUGAUUAGGUGAAAUUAUCACAUCCAAGCUCAUGCUUUCAUAAUGACAUGGAAAUAUGCAUUAGUGUGAAGCUCCAUGAGAAUCUAGCAUCUCGGGGGCUUUGCUCAUCUUGCAAGAAACGUAUAAAGGUUCACAUGCUUUUCCAGAAGAAACUUGUUUUCUAUUUCGCUCUUGCUACUUCUAAGCAUGUGUUGGGAGCUGGCACAUACCACACAUCACCGAACAUCUACAUUCUCGACUGCGUGAUUGUGCGUCU